CGUGAUUCUCGUGUGAAUUCUUCUUUUUAUUUUGUGGUGCUCUUUGGCUAGUAGCUUUUGCGAUUUUAGUGCUGACGAGUCACAAAGGGAUAUUUUUAUAAGUGAGAUUGGAGAUGCAUCAGGUUGAAAGGGCAAUCACCUCUUUAAUCCUUCGAAACUCUCAGCCGCAAUAAUAAUAUGUAUGAUACUCACUUAACGUAGAUUGAAUAAUGCAGCGAUUCGUCCGGUGACUCAAGUAUCGCCAUCAAAUCAUUAACAUGCAGGAUAAAAAAUUGGCCAGGGGAAUAUUCCAUGGUAAUAGUGACGAAAAGAAAUUGUUAAAACAAUGUCCCUGGAAUGGCGAUUAUCUGAAAUUGACGGAUGGCUUGUAAAAAGACUCUCACCAAAGUGUAUCGCAUCAUCUCAUCUACAAGAGCCAAUAAAAAAAAUGGAAAAAACCCCAUCGAGCGUAAUGACUCAUUACAAAGCUCUAUCACGCCUG